GGAGAGAUGGUCGAGUGGUUUAAGGCAGCGGUCUUGAAAACCGCAGAGGCUUCGGUCUCCGGGGGUUCGAAUCCCCCUCUCUCCGCCA
rnacentral:tRNA from 1 species